rnacentral:rRNA from 1 species
CCCUUAGAUGUUCUGGGCCGCACACGCGCUACACUGAAGGAGGCAGCGUGUACUCCUGGAUCGAAAGAUUUGGGUAACCCGCGAAUCUCCUUCGUGCUAGGGAUUGAGGUUUGCAAUUAUCCUUCAUGAACGAGGAAUUCCCAGUAAGUGCAAGUCAUAAGCUUGCGCUGACUACGUCCCUGCCCUUUGUGCACACCGCCCGUCGCUACUACCGAUUGAAUGAUUUAGUGAGGACUUCGGACUGGGACCGAUGCGGCUUUCGGGCUGCGUCGGUAUUCUGGAAAGAUGUCCAAACUGUAUCAUUUAGAGGAAGUAAAAGUCGUAACA